GAUGAACGCUGGCGGCGUGCCUAAUACAUGCCAGUCGAGCGAACGGACGAGAAGCUUGCUUCUCUGAUGUUAGCGGCGGACGGGUGAGUAACACGUGGAUAACCUACCUAUAAGACUGGGAUAACUUCGGGAAACCGGAGCUAAUACCGGAUGAUAUUUUGAACCGCAUGGUUCAAAAGUGAAAGACGGUCUUGCUGUCACUUAUAGAUGGAUCCGCGCUGCAUUAGCUAGUUGGUAAGGUAACGGCUUACCAAGGCAACGAUGCAUAGACGACCUGAGAGGGUGAUCGGCCACACUGGAACUGAGACACGGUCCAGACUCCUACGGGAGGCAGCAGUAGGGAAUCUUCCGCAAUGGGCGAAAGCCUGACGGAGCAACGCCGCGUGAGUGAUGAAGGUCUUCGGAUCGUAAAACUCUGUUAUUAGGGAAGAACAUAUGUGUAAGUAACUGUGCACAUCUUGACGGUACCUAAUCAGAAAGCCACGGCUAACUACGUG
rnacentral:rRNA from 1 species